UACGUAGGGGGCAAGCGUUGUCCGGAAUCAUUGGGCGUAAAGAGCGUGUAGGCGGCCCGGUCAGUCCGCCGUGAAAGUCCAGGGCUCAACCCUGGAAUGCCGGUGGAUACUGCCGGGCUGGAGUCCGGAAGAGGCGAGUGGAAUUCCUGGUGUAGCGGUGAAAUGCGCAGAUAUCAGGAAGAACACCCGUGGCUAAGGCGGCUCUCUAGUACGGUACUGACGCUGAGACGCGAAAGCGUGGGGAGCGAACAGG
rnacentral:rRNA from 1 species